UACGGAGGGUGCGAGCGUUAAUCGGAAUUACUGGGCGUAAAGGGUGCGUAGGUGGUUUAAUAAGUUAGCUGUGAAAGGGCUGGGCUUAACCUGGCAAGGUCAUCUAAGACUGUUGAACUUGAGUAUAGGAGAGGGUAGUGGAAUUUCCGGUGUAGCGGUGAAAUGCGUAGAGAUCGGAAGGAACAUCGGUGGCGAAGGCGGCUACCUGGCCUAAUACUGACACUGAGGCACGAAAGCGUGGGGAGCAAACAGG
rnacentral:rRNA from 2 species